CCCAUUUCCCAGAACAGACGACCGAGGCCCAGGGGCAGGGAAGCCUCGAACAGGGCCGGUGGGCAGCGGCAAGGCCGGAGCGGACCGUCGUGUGGCCCCGUGGACUUUCCUGCAGACCGGUUCUGGGACCUCCCCUAGGGCAUCCUGAGGGGAGGGAGCCCCAGCUGUCUGACAAACCCCUGCAGGAGCAGAGCUGCAACCAGCUUCCUACAUCCCAGUGGUUGUGCCUGAGCGACAGAGGGACACGCCACGCCCGUGACCUGCUGUAUUACUGGACCCCUUCAUGGGAGGGCCCAGGGAGGCCCAAAAGCAGCACCAGGACAGCUGGCGAAGCCAAAAGCAGCAUCCGUGGGCCGCUGUUGGCGGGACGCUCCACGGAGGGCACCACGCCCCCAGCACACCUGCCCGGCUCUGCGCCUCCUCCGUCUGCCUGGCCAAGCAGGCUCUUCUCACGCAGGUGCGUUAGCCUGGAACCGAAUAGAAGGCAGAGAAGCUGGGACUUGGAACUGGAGCUCAGAUACUGGACGCCCCUGUAGGAAGCAGCAGCGUACCCACUGCACCGCGGCACUGGCCCCCGAGGUGUUUCCGUACUGCACGCCCUCUCCUCUCCCUCUCUCUCUUCCCUUGCUUCCUCCUUCACCUGCGUGUCUCCUCAUCUCUGGGAGGAACAUGGACUAUAAAGAAUCAGACGCGGUGCAGGGCUCGAGCCUCAGCUGGGCUGUCUGCCAGCUGUGUGGCCUCCAGCGAAGGAGGCUCCUCUACCACUUGCUGAGCACGGGGAACACCGGCACCCGGGCUGGCUGGGACUGAAGGAGUCUCCUUCCCCUUAAGCACGCCUGCAAGUCCUCUGCCUGCCUCCUCCCAGCCCCCAGCCCCCAGCCCCCAGCCCAGCGUGUGAGAGAGGAGCCGUGUGAGGCCGAGACAUGGCACCUUCCUGCGAGAAGCCAGGGGCCGGGCUCCCAGCUGCUGCACUGCCACCCAGGAGGGAGGGCAGCUCCUGGCGCCGUCUCCCUCCUGCUGCCACCUGUGUCCUCACGGGGACCCCGCGGCCCCAGGUGGCCGGGAGGUGAUGAAGCGCACGGCACUGGGUGGUUUCUGGUGAUGGGCCAAUAAAAACCAGAGAUGUCCACCAGUGUCCCCGGAGCAGCCUGCGCACGGCACCCACUCUUCCAGGCUUUCUGUCGCAAGUACUUUGUGACCGCACGUGGGCGUGACACCGAGCGGCACAAGGAGGCUCAGCAGAGCGGAGCACGCAUGUCCUUGCUGCUACGCCCCGCGUGGAGCGACGGGCACGAGGGUCGGCCUGCCCCUCUCACCGUAAGGACCGGGGCCGCCCGUCCAUCCCGGGACCUGCUGCUGCUCUCGGCUCUCCAGGGGCGCCCGCUCACCUCAGCAGGUCGUGCUUCUUGGUGCGGUUGUGCGCGCUCAGGGCCUUCAGCUCCGCCUGCCGUUUGCGCAGCUCGGCCAGGACCUCGUCCUCGGAGUCCUCCGCGGGGCGGUCCUCCGACUCCAGCAGGCCCUGGGCAAUCAGCUCCUCCUUGAUGCGGCUCUCCAGGGACUUGGUGUGGGGCACACUGUCGGGGAAGGACGCCAGUGCCAGCCGGGGGCUCUGCCUCGGAGGUGCCCGCCCGCGCCGUGCAUCCAGACACAGAAACACGGAGACACGGGCUGCCGCCGCAGCACCAACAUCCUGUCAGCGUGCAACGGACGACCUCACUCCGCCUGGGUCGGAGCCCCGGGCCAGCCUUCCCACCCGAGACCUCUCCCGGGCACAACUGAACUGCCCCUGGCCUGUAGGCGGGGGCCUUCCUGAUACCAACACGGACGGAUGCGGGUGCCAGCUGUGGGUGUGCACAGGACGACACUCACCUGAAGGGCUUGUUCUGAUUGCGGGGGGAGGUACUGGCCCCGUCGGCCCCCGAUUCCUUCGCAGACAUGUCAGGAAUGGGCGAGUCCUCCAUGGGGGAGAUGAUAUUUUCCUGGAAGGCAGCAGCGACAGGACAGCCUUCAGAGACCAGCAACCUGCUCUCCUUGCCUGCCCCGGCCCCGGGGCCCCGAGAGCUCCCCUCAUGGACCCGGGCAGCGUCCCUCACGCCGCAAGUCCCUCGCUCUGGCAGGGACAGGGGAGCGGUGGUGACCCUCGGUGGUGGUAGGGGAAUGGGGGGUUUACAGAAGCGCACUGUGGAGGACGCGGCACAGGCUGCCGCUCUCCGAGCCCAGGCUCUCCCUUCCUCCCCAGUGCUGCUCGGGGGCCUGCCCAGCCACACUGCACCUCCCAGCCUCCCCCGCAGCCAGGGAAGAGAUUCAGAGAGCCACAGCUGGUCGUGGCCCAGAGAGCCCCUUUACACACUCCUCUCUGCUCCUUUCUGGGGGGCCCUCGGCGACCCUGUGCAGGGGACACGGUUACCAUCCGUGGGGGGCCUGUCUGAUGGCGUGAGGAAGCCUUCUUGUACCUCACCUUAGUGCACCUGCAGCGUGUGCCCCAGGCUGCUACAGGAGAGAAAUGAACUAGCGCGCGUCAGCCUCAGGAGCCGGCUGAGGCCGGCCAGGGACGUCACAGCACAGCUCAGGAAGCGGGGUCUACCUCUGGGGGACCUCCAGCCAGCAGCCCCUCCCAGGCUCCCCACUCUCCUGGCCUCCUCUGGGGACAGGCGUGGGAAAACCUCAGCCAAGACCUAGCGACGGGAAGUGGCACAGCGGCUGCCUCCAGGGGAGCGCAGGUCUGGCAGGGGCGAGUGCAGCCUCUUGGACAUGAACUCUCGUCUGGCCACCUCCAGGCCGGCAGCCGACGCUCGUCUGCGGUGCGCCGUGAUCAGUGUACGUCUGAGCGUGUGCUACAGACGAAAGGAGACGUCGGGGAGAAGGCAGAGGCCGGCGCUGGGGCUGGGGUGCUCACCUCCACCAGGGCCUGAAGCAGGCGCUGGGUCAGCGCGCCAAAGGGGCACCCGUCUUCCGGCUGCUCGUGCUGCGCCUCCGACUUCUUCAGCAGGGCAUCCACGUCUGGAGCGGGCAGGGGAGAGAAGGGCAGGGGCGGAGUUCUGGGGCGCAGCUCGGGAGGGCUGUGGGCGAGGACGUGAGGGGCCUACCUUUAGUGUCCAGCUCGGUCAGGGGCCCCAGGAGGCCUUUCUUCUUGUCAGCCACGGCUGCAGCCCGGGCCCCGUCUUUCUGUUCCUCCAGCAGGUCCUCCUGGGCCCAGCGCUGGGAGUAGUGCUUCCCCAGGGGCGGGAUCUGCGGGGCGACAGCAGCCGGCCCUGAGCGGGGCCCUGAGCGGGGCGGAUGAGCCGGCCGUGCCUGGGGGAGGGGCCUCUCUGUGCACUUGGCGUUGCUGUGCACUCGCUUGUCCGUCUCCCACGCCUGUGGUACAGGGUCAAGGCCAGUGCCGGGUCCCGUGAGAAGGGCCGAGGGAGGCAAGAUCUACACUCCAGCUCGAGCAGGACACACAGACGUACAAAGAAGUGAAACACGAGGAGACAAUCCGGAAAAAUCCAUCAGGGCGAGACGGUCAGGUCACAGCUGUUAGCUCCAGAGAAGCAGGGGUUUUAAAGGUUGGGGGGGUGUGGAAAUUGCCCUCUGCAUUGAUUGAAUUUACUACUGCCUGGCUUAUUUGUUUCAUUUUUUUUAAGGAUUUGUUUAUUUACCAAUUUGAAAGGCAGAAUGCCUGCAACGGCCAGGGCCAGGCCAGGCCUAGGCGAGGAAGUGCGUCCAGGUCUUGCACGUGGCUGGCAGGGCCCAGGUACUUCCGCUGCCUACCCGCAUGUGUCAGCAGGAGGCCGACUGGAAGCACAAGGGCUGGGACUGGAAGCAAACCGACAAGGGGCCGCGUAUCUGCCGAAUGCCGUCUGCCACAGCACAGCCUGCCCCUCAGGCCAUAGCAGAGAGCUGGAUCAGAAGAGGAGCAGCCGGGAUACAAACUGGCGCCCAUAUGGGAUGCCGGCACCACAGGGAUCCUUAGCCCACUACACCACAGCACCAGCCCCUGCUCUACUUCUGACCCAGCUCCCUGCUGUGGCCUGGGAAAGCAGCAGAAGAUGGCCCAAGUCCUUGGGCCCCUACAGCCACAUGAAAGACCCGGAAGAAGCUCCUGGCUCCUGGCUUCAGCAUGGCCCAGCCCCAGCCGUUGCAGCCAUUUGGGGAGUGAACCAGCAGAUGGAAGAUCUCUUCAAUCUCUCCCUUUCAAAUAAAUAAGUGCUUUUCAAAUAAAUA